UAUAGAAACGCAUGCCGGUGAUUACCCCGUGUUCGCAUGUAGACGUUUCUUCCAGAAUGGGAAGCAACAGUACGGAAAAAAAUUGUUACUGUAGAAAGUGCGCCUUUCAACUAUGAACUCGCAGGGAAGUGAACGAGCUUCAGCCGCCUCUCAGUACUGCUAGAAGGUUGCACCGCAACGGAUCGAUCGUGUAGCUGCUGGAGUGAGUGACCUUAGUGCUACCAGGUUUCCAGACACUACGUGUAAAGUUCGUUUUUUAGGAAGACACACUGAAAUAUGCGAUUGGAUUACGUUUAGAUCAAAGUCUAGUGUUUACUUUUAGUAUUUAGUUGUCACAGCAGCGAGAGCAUCGGAAAAGUCUGAAUUGAUUAGUUUCAUCAAUAACAUUUUUGCGAGUCACUGUUCGUUCCAGAUUGUAUGUUCCAUUGCAUCAGCCGGUGUUUGUAUUCACUGGAAAAGUAAGAAAAUAUACCCGAUGAUAUGGCUGUGGCGGGUACGCGGAAAAUGCGAUGAACCUUUACAUGUGCGCAGCGCGGCAAAUCAUACGAUUUGUUUAUCAAUAAUUUAUUAUGGGAUAUUAGAAGUCUGUUGGUGAAAGGCUUAUCCGCAACAGAAAUUUAACUACCAAUACUAAGUGUAACGGGUCUACCACCGUGUCAAUCAUUAGGGUACGUAAAAAGGAAUAUGCGUUCCUCACAACUCGCAGUCAUAUUCUGGACGUUGGCAAUCGUCAUCGGUGCGAUUUGAUAAGGGUGAAUCAUAUUUAAUAGUCAAUAAGAAAGAGAAGCUACGGAAAGGAACAAUACCAACAAGCAACUGUCAGGUCAUAAACUUGAUCUCGCCCUGGAAGAAAUACAACGACCUCAACUAGUGCUUCGCUAUCAUGCAGAUUUGGAAAUCAGCCAAGCCAUGAGGUGAUGUACGUCGCGUUCUUAUCAAUGGACUGCUAUGACGGCUGCUGAAACGAGGUCUGCUACCAACAAUCGGGUUGAACUGUGAAAAAUCGCAAAUGUUACUAUAAAAUUGUAAUCAGUGAGUGUGCACAGUGUAUUCAAAUCUGCUAUACAGUGAAGUGUGAUGGCUAUAAGUGUUCCAUCUCGAAGCGAUCAAUUGUCGGAAAUCCUAUCAAUUGUAUGAGUAUCAAGGGGACUACACCAGUGCAGCUGUGAAUACGAUUGCGACUUAACCGCGUGGUGAUCUAGGAACACACACGGAUCAUACAAACAGGAAUAUCCGUUUGGACUAGUUUCAGUAACUAAAAUCAGGAUGAUCGGAAUUAAGUACUUAAAUGAGGCCCACCUCAGGGGUUUCGAAAAGUACAAGUACAAUUGUGUAGACACCAGUAUACUCAGUGUUCAUGUGAUGCACCCGUUCUGGAACUGGCUUGUGCAAUACUGUCCCCGGUGGAUUGCGCCCAACCUGCUCACAUUCACCGGAUUCCUGCUGACAGUGGUGAACUUCUUUCUUAUAGGAUACUACGAUUUCGGGUUCACGGCGGCUGCACUGAAUCCCAAUCCCAUUCCCGAUUGGGUGUGGAUACUGGCAGCAAUAAACUUAUUCGUAGCAUAUACUUUAGAUGGUAUUGAUGGGAAACAAGCCCGACGGACGGGAACUAGUGGCCCAUUGGGCGAAUUAUUCGAUCAUGGGUUGGAUUCGUAUUCAACGCUGCUGAUUCCCCUGUACAUGUUCAGUUUGUUUGGAAUUUACGAUUUGCCUCCGAUUAGGAUGCACUUUGUGAUGCUGAACGCGUAUCUUAAUUUUUAUCUUUCGCAUGCGGAAAAGUAUAUUACAGGUGUGAUGUUCCUACCAUGGGGAUACGACUUCGUCAUGUGGGGAGUAUCGCUCACGCUGGCAGUCACCGGUAUAUGUGGACCACAAAUCUGGCAGCUCACAGUUUUCGGGGUGAAACCAUGUGUGAUAUUUGAAAUCACUCUGUACGUGUCGGGAAUGAUAACUAGUCAUCCAAUUAUUAUUUAUAAUAUAUAUAGAUCCUAUCGCGACAAAACGGGGAAAAUGCGCCCAUUCGGAGAAGCGGUGCGGCCAAUGAUCCCACUCCUUUCUCUUUACGCGAUCAGCACCACUUGGGCUCUAUUUUCCCGUAACAGUAUUGUCAAUCUAGAGCCUCGAAUGUUUUUCAUUCUUAGUGGAACGAUAUUUUCAAAUAUCAAUUGUCGACUGAUUGUAGCACAAAUGACAGACACCAAGUCAGAUCUGGGAAAUGUUCUGCUCAACCUGAUGAUGGCAGCAACGAUCGUUUGCGUGAUUCCCUAUCGUAUCUUUGGAAUGUCCGACCUUUGGGUCGAAUACGAACGGAGCAUUUUAUAUGCGUUGACUUCAGUAGUAACAAUAGCCCACCUACACUACGGACAGGGUGUUGUAAGGGAAAUGUGCAGCCACUUCCGGAUCAAAUGUUUCAAAAUCGCAGCAUACGGGAAAUCAUCAGCAUUAAUCGAGUACUAAUCCCAGAUCAUACCGAAACCAGGUAUAAUACUGAAGUUAGUUGCAGACGACGAUAGAAGAUGGUCUAGUCAUUCACACUAAUUUACAAAAUAACACAGCCGUCUCGCGUUCUUGUCUAGAACGAACCUGUUGAUAUAUAGGUGUAAAAAGUGCAUGCAGCAGUGUAACCAUGUUGAUUCGGAUCACGAAACCUUUACCUGUACUGAACGGCACCAACAACAACGAUGGUAUGGUGGAGAUCGAUCUAUGAGGAGAGGUGCUUCAAUCAGCUAAAGCACUAGCCCAAUACUGAAACCUACGCUACCAACAAAUACUUAAUUCUGUAUAUAAAGACUAGUAAAUAUAACUUACAUAAAAAUUCAA